rnacentral:rRNA from 1 species
CCUACGGGCGACAGCAGUGAGGAAUAUUGGUCAAUGGGCGCGAGCCUGAACCAGCCAAGUAGCGUGAAGGAUGACUGUCCUACGGGUUGUAAACUUCUUUUAUAAAGGAGUAAAGUGAGGCACGUGUGCCUUUUUGUAUGUACUUUAUGAAUAAGGAUCGGCUAACUCCGUGCCAGCAGCCGCGGUAAUACGGAGGAUCCGAGCGUUAACCGGAUUUAUUGGGUUUAAAGGGUGCGUAGGCGGAUUGUUAAGUUAGAGGGGAAAUUUCCGAGCUUAACUCGGGAACUGCCUUUAAUACUGGUUAUCUAGAGAGUAGGUGCGGUAGGCGGAAUGUGUGGUGUAGCGGUGAAAUGCUUAGAUAUCAUACAGAACACCGAUUGCGAAGGCAGCUUACCAAUCUAUAACUGACGUUGAGGCACGAAAGCGUGGGGAGCAAACAGGAUUAGAUACCCCAGUAGUC